AAUCAGCUCGACAGAGGUUGGACGUUAUCGUCUUCUUUGUCACGUAACUUAAUGACCUGCGUUUCUUUCACCGGUCGAUAUCGCAAUUGACACAUUUUUCUACUGCGAGGUAAAACCCUAAGGAAAUUACGAUUUCCCCUUGACCAGAUAAACAAGAGUACGAGUUCAUUGCUGUCGCAAUGCUUUUCAAAGUCUGUCAGAGGAUUUGUUUCGAGUUGUUCAAACAAAUUGGAAGGAAUUUGAACGUUUAACAAAUACUAAUGCGUCAGAGUUUCGAAACUGCGCGAAACUCCCUGUUUCAGUCAUUCGAAAUCUCUCGAUUUCUGACCCUUGUUUAUCACUUGCGCAUAAUGUGUUGUUACAAUGUUUGAGUGAACUGUGCUUUGCAUCCAAGAUACAGGUGUCUAACAAGAACCUAGCUGGGCAAUUAUUUCAAUCCAACAAUGGAUUGGCAAGUCGACGUCGAAUACGAAGGAAAAUGGCGGCGGAGGAAGGGAACGAAAUCUGGAGCCGUUAGCGUCCCUUUCUACAAAUGACUUCCAACCCAUUUGGUUUUAUCUUUUUUUGAAUGGAUCCCUUAAAUCUAGGACAGGCCAUCCAGUACUCAGUGAAUGCCCUAAUUUAUGGGGUUCUUUAAGGAUAACCAUCGGCGAUGGAAGCAGGCAUUAGUGCAGUGAAAUCAAUCUUGAUAGUUGUCUUCGGUUUAACCAAAGCAUUGCACUUAAAAGCCGUGGCAACUAGCAGCCGAAAAUUCCGUUUCAACAUGGAUAAACUCAGCUGUCUUUUUCAAAUUUUAGCCUUUGGGCUUGUCUUGAAUGCCGGAGGCAAUCCACUUAAUCCCUUUUUAAACCGCAUGGAUUAUAAAAGGCCAGAAAAGGUUUUACCCAACUAUCAAGAAGCCUUCGACGUUGGGAAUUCAUCCCGUGGGCAACGUGCAACUUGCCCAGAGGAUUAUUCACCUUGUACAUGCGCCCUAACCAUCAGUGGAUUGGAAAUUACCUGUGCUGGUGUAUCUGUCGAAGACAUCCAGGACGUGUUCUUCCGCACGCAAACUCUUCAACUGUAUUUGGUUUUGUUGACGGCUACAGUCUCACCUUCGGGUACGAUCGCAUUACCCAGCGAUUUACUUCAAAACAAGCAUGCAGACAACAUUUUCCUCGUUUGCCCGUCGGAUGCAUCGCCAAACGUGGGUCUCACCAUAGAUCCAUUUGCGUUUCAAUUCACUCGUUUCGAAACGACCAUAAUGGGCAUUCUAAAUUGCGAUCUAUCGGCGCAAGCAGACAUGCGAUUCUUGAACGAUUUCACUGCUUUGCAUACGCUGCGCAUCGAGAACACGUUAAACGUGGAAGUCAUUGAAACUCUUCCGUCAAGUACGUUACCGGCUCUUAAGAAACUCAUCAUCACCGGAUGCACCGGAUUGGAAAAUGCUGCUUUCCCUGAUUUGACACCUGCAAGAUUAGAACGACUGUACCUGAACGGCAACGGCUUAAAGGACGAAGCCAUCAACAAUAUUUUGAUCUCUAUCGGUAGUUCAUCUUCAUCCAGCUCUUUGAAAGAGCUCGUUUUAGCCGACGAUGGAAUGACGAAAGUUCCAAGAAUUGGAUCGUUUUCCCAACUAAGUGUGUACGACGUUAGCUAUAACGACAUCCCGUUCAUGAGUCAAUCAUCUUUGAUGUUCAGUUCGCCCGUCCGAUUAGUCAGUCUUAAAAGUAUUUCCCUCUCUGCUAUCGAAGGAGAGGCGUUCGAAGGUGAUUUCUCGGUGGCUCAAUUCAAUUUGGAGUACAAUCAAUUGACAGAGUUUAGAGAAGACGUUUUCAAAUCAAUGCUGGAACAAAUGGCGGCAUUGCCGGAUGGGGAAGGCGGUCAAGUCCUCGUCACUGGAAACCGGUUUGCGUGCGGUUGCGGUUUGGCCUGGCUCAUCCGAGACCAUCAAGACCUCAUCCCCAGCGUCAAAAAUGGAGUUUGCGAUGGGUUUUUCAGGUUCGAAGACAUUAAUCCCAAUUCAUUCAUCAAUUGCUUGUAAAGAAGAUGAACCUAGAGGGAUCCCGGAGGUGCCAAUAGACAUGCCCAACGCUGGAAAAGUUCAGAGAGUUUUUUAAAGUCAUGAAAUCUGAGGGGACUUGGAAUGAGUCUUGACAAACAAGGUGAGAAAAUCUAGAACGACGAAUAACAUUCGUCGCCACAGGUUUUCCCCAUUAUCUAAUCCUCUUUCAACAGAUCGUUUUUCUU
rnacentral:misc_RNA from 1 species